CGGUAUUUUUGAAGUAAUCGUUUGAUAAUUAGAUCGCCAGAACACGCGUACAAUACAAAUGAUUGUCGUUGUUUAUUCGGUUAAAUCCGGACCGGUGUGGCAGACAUAAAAAGGAUUUCAAUCACACUAAAAAAAAAGGGCCUAUUUAAAAAUAUAAUGAUUUGUCUCGCGAAAGAUUUUUCCUUUGUUCGUUAUUUUUUGUGAGUACGUGUAAUAUUUUAAUUUUAAUAAAAAUUUGACCACACGGCAAAACGCAUUCGAGUCCAAGUAAUGC